rnacentral:rRNA from 1 species
UACGUAGGGUGCGAGCGUUAAUCGGAAUUACUGGGCGUAAAGCGUGCGCAGGCGGCGCGUUAAGACAGGUGUGAAAGCCCCGAGCUUAACUUGGGAAUUGCGCUUGUGACUGGCGAGCUGGAGUGUGGCAGAGGGAGGUGGAAUUCCACGUGUAGCAGUGAAAUGCGUAGAGAUGUGGAGGAACACCGAUGGCGAAGGCAGCCUCCUGGGCCAGCACUGACGCUCAUGCACGAAAGCGUGGGGAGCAAACAGC